ensembl:lncRNA
AGUGGCUUUCCAGAAAAAAAAAGUAACAUCAUCAUCAUAAUAAUAAAAGAAAGAAAGCAAAAGAAAGAAAGAAAAAGAAAAAGAAAGAAAAAGAAAAAGAAAGAAAGAAAGCAAAAGAAAGAAAGAAAAAGAAAGAAAAAGAAAAAGAGAAAGAAAGAAAGCGAAAGAAAGAAAGCAAAAGAAAGAAAGAAAAAGAGAAAGAAAGAAAGCAAAAGAAAGAAAAAGAAAAAGAAAGAAAGAAGCAAAAGAAAGAAAGCAAAAGAAAAGAAAAAAGAAAAAGAGAAAGAAAGAAAGCAAGAAAGAAAGAAAGCAAAAAGAAAGAAAAGAAAGAAAAGAAGAAAGAAAAGAAGAAAAAAGAAAAGAAAGAAAGCAAAAGAAAGAAAGCAAAAGAAAGAAAGAAAAAGAGAAAGAAAGAAAGCAAAAGAAAGAAAGAAAAAGAAAAAGAGAAAGAAAGAAAGCAAAAGAAAGAAAGAAAGCAAAAGAAAGCAAGAAAGCAAGAAAGCAAGCAAGAAAGAAAGAAAGGCAGAGGCAGACAGGGGUGAUUUUCAGUGUUUGCCUAUAUCUUUUUUUUUUUUUUUUAAGUUUAUUCAUUUGAUAGAGACAAAGAGAGCGAGCAAGGGAGGGGCAGAGAGAGAGAGAGGGAGAAAGAAAGAAACCAAAACAGGCCCCGUGCUAUCGCCACAGAGGGGCUCAGACUCACCAACCGUGAGAUCGUGGCCUGAGUGGAAACCGAGUCCCACGCUCCGGGGCCGGAGCCUCCCGGGUGCCCCACGCCGAUCUCGGUCCUUCGGCGUGGACCCUCCCCACCUCCCCAGGAAAACACCACCAGCCGCAGCCUCUGAAAACCAGUGUCUUCACCUGUCUGUCACCGCAAAGCACCAACUUCAGACUCUAAAAUCAAGGACAUUGCCAGCUAGCCGGGCUGGGAUGAGAGAACUUGGAGAAAACAAGCCUGUUUUCAACCGUUUCAGUCUGAUCUGUUUGCAAGUGAGAAGAUUAUGUUACCUGUAUUUCAGGGCUUGGGAGGAAAAAGGCGUCAAUGUUGCAACAUAAUGAAAUAAAGUCAUAGCCCUAAAUUCUAAGCCUGGUUGG